rnacentral:rRNA from 1 species
UACAUGGGGUGCAAACGUUGCUCGGAAUUAUUGGGCGUAAAGCGUGCGUAGGCGGUUACUUAAGUCGGAUGUGAAAGCCCUCGGCUUAACUGAGGAAGUGCACCCGAAACUGAGUAGCUAGAGUACGAAAGAGGGUCGCGGAAUUCCCGGUGUAGAGGUGAAAUUCGUAGAUAUCGGGAGGAACACCGGUGGCGAAGGCGGCGACCUGGGUCGAGACUGACGCUGAGGCGCGAAAGCGUGGGGAGCAAACAGG